GUAACUCGAUUUGGGUGAACAAUGCUAGUUAGAAUGUUUUGUUCGCUCAGCUCGCGUUUCCGAUGAUUUGCCCUUUCUUCUUCCGAAAAAUGACAGCGAAGGACACGCUCAAUUGCCAGCCAAAUACGACGACGCAAGAAAAAUAUUUCCAAGUAAUUUGCCAUGUUCGCUUCAAGGAAUUUUACUGAGAGAACUUUGCCGUUUUGUCAUUUUGAGAGAGAGAAAACAAUAUUUGACGCCCUUCCACGACGUUGGGUGCAAAACGAACUUCUUUCAUUUUCGCGAGAUUCUUGCAAGAGUUGACGGACAACAACCUCAAGGCCUUCAUAAUAUUCUUCUGCAGUAGGAAUGAUGUAACGAGGUGGUAAAAGAAAUCCGUGUUUU